rnacentral:rRNA from 1 species
UACGUAGGGUGCAAGCGUUGUCCGGAAUUAUUGGGCGUAAAGAGCUCGUAGGCGGUCGGUUGCGUCGGCUGUGAAAACCCGGGGCUCAACCCCGGGCCUGCAGCCGAUACGGGCAGACUAGAGUUCGGCAGGGGAGACUGGAAUUCCUGGUGUAGCGGUGAAAUGCGCAGAUAUCAGGAGGAACACCGGUGGCGAAGGCGGAUCUCUGGGCCAUUACUGACGCUGAGGAGCGAAAGCGUGGGGAGCGAACAGG